rfam:Pygoscelis adeliae contig64925, whole genome shotgun sequence.
UGCCUCAUGGCACAGCACCAGCACAUCUGACUCCAGAUCAGAAAGUUGUGCGUUCAAGUCACACUGGGGUCG